AACGAGGAAACAAAUAGGGUGUCUUGGUAGGUUUGGUAAUUUACCUAAUUUUCAUUAAAUAAUUAAAGUCGAUUCUAAUUUUUGUGGGUAUUAAUUGGAAACUUUUUCUGUUUUACUUAAAGCAAGCUUAGGGUUCUCUUUAUUUUUCAUAUGCAUUUUUGACUGAUUUUUAUAAAACUUUGGAGUGAUAUUUCUUUUAUGGCAGAAUCUAACUUUCACAGUAGAUAGGAACCAUACUUGAGGGCAAGCAUGGGCUAAGUA
rnacentral:lncRNA from 1 species